rnacentral:rRNA from 1 species
CGUGUAGGCGGUAUGGUAAGUCAGAUGUGAAAGCCCUGGGCUUAACCUAGGAAGUGCAUUUGAUACUGCUAUUCUUGAGUAUGGGAGAGGAGAGUAGAAUUCCCAGUGUAGAGGUGAAAUUCGUAGAUAUUGGGAGGAAUACCCGUGGCGAAGGCGACUCUCUGGACCAAUACUGACGCUGAGACGCGAAAGCGUGGGGAGCAAACA